CUUCAUCAGCCUCCAAUGGGACAACAGAGUUUCCCUCUAUUUCUUCCCAGUCGUCAAGUCAGAAACCAUCACCUUUGGCAGGUGGGUCAACGGAAAUAACCACAAUUUCAUCUACAUUAUCAAUUACACCAUUUGAGUCAGCAACCACACCAUCAGAGCAAACAACAAUCUCAAUAUCAUCCCACAUAACUACAUCUCCAGAAUAUACAGCAUCCAAUGGGACAACACAG